rnacentral:misc_RNA from 1 species
GGCAUCCACAGGCAAGUCCAGGUCAUCGCCAAUGGAGUCCGGCUCGUUUGAAGGAAGGUAACGGUGAAGCGCCGUUAACGAGUCGAGGAAAGGCGAACUGGCAUUCCCGCAGUUGGUAAAUUGGGAGGGUAAGGGUGAUGUGGGCUCGUCGAAAAAUGGGUCCCAAUGAGGGAUUUGGACGGUCGGAUUUGAAUGCGGAGACUCUCCGAUCAUCAUUUUUUGGACAUAAUCAGC